AACGCUAGCUACAGGCUUAACACAUGCAAGUCGAGGGGAAACGAUAUUGGAAGCUUGCUUCCGAUAGGCGUCGACCGGCGCACGGGUGAGUAACGCGUAUCCAACCUGCCCAUCACUUGGGGAUAACCUUGCGAAAGUAAGACUAAUACCCAAUGAUAUCUCAAGAAGACAUCUGAAUGAGAUUAAAGAUUUAUCGGUGAUGGAUGGGGAUGCGUCUGAUUAGCUUGUUGGCGGGGUAACGGCCCACCAAGGCGACGAUCAGUAGGGGUUCUGAGAGGAAGGUCCCCCACAUUGGAACUGAGACACGGUCCAAACUCCUACGGGAGGCAGCAGUGAGGAAUAUUGGUCAAUGGGCGAGAGCCUGAACCAGCCAAGUAGCGUGCAGGAUGACGGCCCUAUGGGUUGUAAACUGCUUUUAUAAGGGAAUAAAGUGAGCCCCGUGAGGCUUUUUGCAUGUACCUUAUGAAUAAGGACUGGCUAAUUCCGUGCCAGCAGCCGCGGUAAUACGGAAGGUCCGGGCGUUAUCCGGAUUUAUUGGGUUUAAAGGGAGCGUAGGCCGGAGAUUAAGCGUGUUGUGAAAUGUAGAUGCUCAACAUCUGCACUGCAGCGCGAACUGGUUUCCUUGAGUACGCACAAAGUGGGCGGAAUUCGUGGUGUAGCGGUGAAAUGCUUAGAUAUCACGAAGAACUCCGAUUG
rnacentral:rRNA from 1 species